rnacentral:rRNA from 1 species
AUGCUUCUCACUGGUGGUGUAUUCAAGUUGGCCUGCCCAUCGUAUUUUUCAUCUUGUUUCCUGGUGUUGUAUGGAUCUAAUAGUCAAGCAGUAGCCAUGUAUCCAAUGAAGUUGUAUUUUCAAGAACAAAAAUAUGUACUAGUAUAUAGUUUAGAAGUUGAUAUCUCCCAAGGUGAAUUGAAGCAUACAACCAUGAUGCAGCCAAACUUGAUUAUGCUAAAACAAUGCUCCCAUGUCAAAAAUUUCAAUCAAUGUGCAACCACUAGAGGUACCACCUUUUUUUUAUUACAACAUUCUAAACAUUACCUUCAUUCAUUCAGCAGGUACCGAAGACUGGACGCAACUGAAGUUCUUGAUUUGAAGUCGAACCAAAUCUGA